UGGGCUUCCAACUUAAAAUCAGUUGACAAUUAGUGGAUUGAUCUUAAUAGUAUUUAUUAGCAGUUAGUCUUAACUAAUCUUUUGUUAGCAAUAUUUUUUAUCAUAAUUAACAUAAUCCUUAUUGGUACACUAUCGACAUUAUCAGCUACUACUAUCACUGGUCAAACAACACAGACCAACGACCAAUCGUUAUUAUAUGACUCGCGUUAAGUUCAAGAGGUCUCGAUGGUUUACAUAUA
rnacentral:lncRNA from 1 species